rnacentral:rRNA from 1 species
AGGGACUAUCGGCUCAAGCCGAUGGAAGUUUGAGGCAAUAACAGGUUGGCACACAGGCCUGUAAAAGUAGGUUUUGACCUGCUAGUCUAGCACCUAAUCUCCGUGAAGAAGUCUUCUUCUACCGGGCGGAGAGAUGCGAAAGCAUUCGGUGUGGGCAACACUACCUGGAACAGGGGACGCUGGAGGCCUUUGGGUACUUGGCCGACCCUGUGGCGAGCUCGAGUAACGUUGAGCCGUCGCAACGCGCGC